GGGAACAUGGCUUAAUGGUAAAGCCCUUGUCUUGCAUACAUGAAGCCCUGGGUUUGAUUCCUCAGUACCA
rnacentral:tRNA from 1 species